rnacentral:lncRNA from 1 species
GGGUGCUCUUACCCACUGAGCCAUCUCACCAGCCCCCCUGCUCGUUUCUUUAUUAGGUCAUUUCUUUAUAAUUAAUUAAUUAAUUAAUUAAUUAAUUAAUUAAUUAAAUUGUGUGUGUGUGUUCUCACAUGAGUGUCACAGUGUGCUGAGGUCAGAGGAGGGCUAAUGGGAGUUGAUGUGUAUGUACAUGUGUGUGUAAGCAUGUGUACCAUAGCUCCCAUGUGAAGGUCAGAUAACAACUUGAAAGAAUCAGUUUUCUCUUUCCACCCUGUGGGUCCUGGGGAUGGAACACAGAUCCUCAGGCUUGGAAGCAAGUGCCUUUACCCAUGGAGCCAUAUCAUCAAUCCCUAGAUGGCUCAGUGGUUCAGAACUGGCCACCUUGGCAGGGGACCAGGGUUAGAGUCCUGGCAUCUACAUGGCAGAUCAAAGCUCUCUAACUCCAAUUCCAACGGAUCUGAUAUCCUUCCUCUUCUGGACUCCCCCAGCAGGGCACACAUGUGGUAUGCAGAUAUACAACAUACAUAGGCUCAUAUACAUUAAAUAAAUAAGGUUACAAAAGUUAUUUCUGGCCGGGCGUGGUGGCGUACGCCUUUAAUCCCAGCACUGGGGAGGCAGAGGCAGGUGGAUUUCUGAGUUCAAGGCCAGCCUGGUCUACAGAGUGAGUUCCAGGACUGCCAGGGCUACCCAGAAAAACCCUGUCUUGAAAACAAAACAAAACAAACAAACAAACAAACAAACCAAACAACCCUCCCCCCACCCCGAAAAAAAGAAAGAAAAAGUUAUUUCUGCUGGGUAGUGAUGGCGCAUGCCUUUAAUCCCAGCACUUGGGAGGCAGAGGAGGGCAGAUUUCUGAGUUCGAGGCCAGCUUGGUCUACAGAGUGAGCUCCAGAACAGUCAGGGCUACCCAAAGAAACCCUGUCUGGAAAAAAACCAAAAAACCAAAAAAAAAAAAAAGUUAUUUCUUGGGUCUAGAGCAAUGGUUUAGAUAUUAAGAGCUGCUGCUACUGCUGCUACGCUUCAACAGGAUCCAAGUUCAGUUCCUAGCACCCACCCAGCGGCUCCCAACCAUCUGUAACUCCAGUUCCAGGAAUCUGAUGGCUUCUUCUGGCCACUUCAGGCACCAGCAUGCAUGCGGUACACAAACAUAUUUGCAAGUAAAACAACCAUAGACAAAAAUAAAAUAAAAUAUUUGAAGAAAAUAAGGUGGGAAGUGGCUGAGAAAGAGAAAGUUGUCAAAUCCAACUCCUCUAUACACACACACACAGUCACAAUGUACUAAUUUUUUUCUAAUAAAACAUCAAUUUUUUUUCUUUCGUCCCCCCACCCCUUUUCUCAGAUAGCUAAGCAGUUAGCAAACCCAGAACAGGACCGUGAGGAACUGACAGCGAUGUUAGGGUUCAGCAGGAUGCUGUUAGAGAGAUGCAUGCUAGUGUGUCUGCUGGGAGACAGGAGGAGGGGCUUCUGAAGUCUGACAGCCAGAGGUUUUUUUUAGCCAUUAUAGGGAAUCACAGAAUGUUUUUCUUUGCUUCUUUCAUUCCCUUCAGAUCAGAGUAAAACCUCGAUUUGUCUAAGGCAGAAUAUUUGGGGGUAGGACAUUUUUCUUUGUAUGGCUUCUAGUUUUAAAGUUUUUCAUGAUCUUGUUGCAAUGGCUGUGGCAGAAAGGCCUGGACAUUAGCGGGAGGAGGAGAUCAAUCCAUACUGACCGGGCAG